rnacentral:rRNA from 1 species
GCCGGCAGCUAGCUCUCUGCAGCUCUCACAUGGUCGCCCACUGAAGCCAAGCAGGGCUGAGCCUGGUCAGUGUCUGGAUGGGAGACCACAUGGGAAAGCUAGGUUGCUGCCGGAA